rnacentral:rRNA from 1 species
UACAGAGGUCCCGAGCGUUGUUCGGAUUUAUUGGGCGUAAAGGGUGCGUAGGCGGCGGAGUAAGUUGGGUGUGAAAUCCCGGGGCUCAACCUCGGAAUUGCAUUCAAUACUGCUUCGCUCGAGUACUGGAGAGGAGGCUGGAAUUUACGGUGUAGCAGUGAAAUUCGUAGAUAUUCGGAGGAACACCAGUGGCGAAGGCGACUGCCUGGACAAAGACUGACGCUGAGGUGCGAAAGCGUGGGGAGCAAACAGG